rnacentral:rRNA from 1 species
GACGAACGCUGGCGGCGUGCUUAACACAUGCAAGUCGAACGGGCCUUGUCCCCUUUUUUUUGGGGGUGGGGUUAGUGGCGAACGGGUGAGUAACACGUGAGUAACCUGCCCCUCACUUCUGGAUAACCGCUUGAAAGGGUGGCUAAUACGGGGUGUUCUGGCCUGCUCGCAUGGGUGGGUUUGGUAAGCUUCGACCGGUUUUGGUUGGUUUGGUGGGGGAUGGGCUCGCGGCCUAUCAGCUUGUUGGUGGGGUGAUGGCCUUCCAAGGCUUUGACGGGUAGCCGGCCUGAGAGGGUGGGCGGUCACACUGGGACUGAGACACGGCCCAGACUACUACGGGAGGCAGAAGUGGGGAAUAAUGCACAAUGGGCGCAAGCCUGAUGCAGCGACGCCGCGUGAGGGAUGGAGGCCUUCGGGUUGUGAACCUCUUUCGCCAGUGAAGAAGGUCCUGCUCUUUGUGGUGGGGUUGACGGUAGCUGGGUUAAUGAAGCGCCGGCUAACUACGUG